UUGCAGCCAAUUUAGCCAGCCAUUCUCUCUGCCUUUUGGGACCUGGUGUGCAAUGGUUGCAGACAGAUAGCAAGCAGCCUGCUCUAAAGUAUAUGCAGCCUGUGGCUUAUGGGCUGUAAUAAGGGACUUUGGAUGUUCCU